AAUAUUGGACAAUGGGGGGAACCCUGAUCCAGCCAUGCCGCGUGUGUGAAGAAGGUCUUCGGAUUGUAAAGCACUUUAAGUGUGGAGGAAGGGGUUGAAGCUAAUACCUUCAAUCUUUGACGUUACCAACAGAAUAAGCACCGGCUAACUCUGUGCCAGCAGCCGCGGUAAUACAGAGGGUGCAAGCGUUAAGCGGAAUGACUGGGCGUAAAGCGCGCGUAGGUGGUUCAGUAAGAUGGAAGGGAAAUCCCCGGGCUUAACCUGGGAACUGCUUUCAUAACUGCUGAGCUAGAGUACGGUAGAGGGUAGUGGAAUUUCCUGUGUAGCGGUGAAAUGCGUAGAUAUAGGAAGGAACACCAGUGGCGAAGGCGACCACCUGGGCUAAUACUGACACUGAGGUGCGAAAGCGUGGGGAGCAAACAGG
rnacentral:rRNA from 1 species